rnacentral:rRNA from 1 species
AUUGAACGCUGGCGGAAUGCUUUACACAUGCAAGUCGAACGGCAGCACGGGGGCAACCCUGGUGGCGAGUGGCGAACGGGUGAGUAAUACAUCGGAACGUGCCCAGUCGUGGGGGAUAACGUAGCGAAAGUUACGCUAAUACCGCAUACGAUCUACGGAUGAAAGCGGGGGACCGUAAGGCCUCGCGCGAUUGGAGCGGCCGAUGUCAGAUUAGGUAGUUGGUGAGGUAAAGGCUCACCAAGCCGACGAUCUGUAGCUGGUCUGAGAGGACGACCAGGCACACUGGGACUGAGACACGGCCCAGACUCCUACGGGAGGCAGCAGUGGGGAAUUUUGGACAAGGGGCGCAAGCCUGAUCCAGCCAUUCCGCGUGCAGGACGAAGGCCUUCGGGUUGUAAACUGCUUUUGUACGGAACGAAAAGGCUCUGGUUAAUACCUGGGGCUCAUGACGGUACCGUAAGAAUAAGCACCGGCUAACUACGUGCCAGCCGCCGCGGUAA